rnacentral:rRNA from 1 species
AUGGUUGUUCGUCUAGCUCGUGUCGUGAGAUGUGGUUAAGUCCGCACGAGCGCAACCCUAUUGUUAGUUGCCAUCAUUCAGUUGGGCACUCUAGCGAGACUGCCGGUAAUAAACCGGAGGAAGGUGGGGAUGACGUCAAAUCAUCAUGCCCCUUAUGACCUGGGCUACACACGUGCUACAAUGGUUGGUACAACGAGUUGCGAGUCGGUGACGGCGAGCUAAUCUCUUAAAGCCAAUCUCAGUUCGGAUUGUAGGCUGCAACUCGCCUACAUGAAGUCGGAAUCGCUAGUAAUCGCGGAUCAGCACGCCGCGGUGAAUACGUUCCCGGGCCUU